UCAUAAUGCAAGUCGAACGAGAAAGUAUCUUCGGAUACGAGUACAGUGGCGGACGGGUGAGUAAUACAUAGGAAUCUACCCAAUGGAGGGGGAUAGCUCGAGGAAACUCGAAUUAAUACCGCAUAAUCUCCACGGAGUAAAGAGGGCUUCGGCUCUCGCCAUCGGAUGAGCCUAUGCAGGAUUAGCUUGUUGGUGAGGUAAAGGCUUACCAAGGCGACGAUCCUUAGCUGGUUUGAGAGGAUGACCAGCCACAUCGGGACUGAGACACGGCCCGGACUUCUACGGAAGGCAGCAGUAGGGAAUAUUGGACAAUGAGCGAAAGCUUGAUCCAGCCAUGCCGCGUGUGCGAUGACGGCCCUCGGGUUGUAAAGCACUUUAGGUAACGAGGAAAAGUUAGGUGUUAAUACCAUCUAACCUUGACGUGUAUUACAGAAUAAGCACCGGCUAAAUCCGUGCCAGCAGCCGCGGUAAUACGGAUGGUGCAAGCGUUAAUCGGAAUUACUGGGCGU
rnacentral:rRNA from 1 species